rnacentral:rRNA from 1 species
AGCGAACGCUGGCGGCAGGCUUAACACAUGCAAGUCGAGCGGGCACUUCGGUGUCAGCGGCAGACGGGUGAGUAACACGUGGGAACGUACCCUUCGGUUCGGAAUAACGCUGGGAAACUAGCGCUAAUACCGGAUACGCCCUUUUGGGGAAAGGUUUACUGCCGAAGGAUCGGCCCGCGUCUGAUUAGCUAGUUGGUGGGGUAAUGGCCUACCAAGGCGACGAUCAGUAGCUGGUCUGAGAGGAUGAUCAGCCACACUGGGACUGAGACACGGCCCAGACUCCUACGGGAGGCAGCAGUGGGGAAUAUUGGACAAUGGGUGCAAGCCUGAUCCAGCCAUGCCGCGUGAGUGAUGAAGGCCUUAGGGUUGUAAAGCUCUUUUGUCCGGGACGAUAAUGACGGUACCGGAAGAAUAAGCCCCGGCUAACUUCGUG